rnacentral:rRNA from 1 species
GAUGAACGCUGGCGGCGUGCCUAAUACAUGCAAGUCGAGCGAACAGACGAGGAGCUUGCUCCUCUGACGUUAGCGGCGGACGGGUGAGUAACACGUGGAUAACCUACCUAUAAGACUGGGAUAACUUCGGGAAACCGGAGCUAAUACCGGAUAAUAUAUUGAACCGCAUGGUUCAAUAGUGAAAGACGGUUUUGCUGUCACUUAUAGAUGGAUCCGCGCCGCAUUAGCUAGUUGGUAAGGUAACGGCUUACCAAGGCAACGAUGCGUAGCCGACCUGAGAGGGUGAUCGGCCACACUGGAACUGAGACACGGUCCAGACUCCUACGGGAGGCAGCAGUAGGGAAUCUUCCGCAAUGGGCGAAAGCCUGACGGAGCAACGCCGCGUGAGUGAUGAAGGUCUUCGGAUCGUAAACCUCUGUUAUUAGGGAAGAACAAAUGUGUAAGUAACUAUGCACGUCUUGACGGUACCUAAUCAGAAAGCCACGGCUAACUACGUG